rnacentral:tRNA from 3 species
GGGCGGAUGGUUUAGUGGUAUAAUUUUCCCUUAGCAUCGGCAGCGGUCCAGUUGCCUCCCGCAUGGGAAAGGUCCGGGGUUCGAUUCCCCGUUCGUCCA